UCUCUGGGCCGUAACUGACGCUGAGGAGCGAAAGCGUGGGGAGCGAACAGGAUUAGAUACCCUGGUAGUCCACGCCGUAAACGUUGGGCGCUAGAUGUGGGGACCAUUCCACGGUUUCCGUGUCGCAGCUAACGCAUUAAGCGCCCCGCCUGGGGAGUACGGCCGCAAGGCUAAAACUCAAAGGAAUUGACGGGGGCCCGCACAAGCGGCGGAGCAUGCGGAUUAAUUCGAUGCAACGCGAAGAACCUUACCAAGGCUUGACAUAUACGUGAACGCUCUAGAAAUAGAGAACUCUUUGGACACUCGUAUACAGGUGGUGCAUGGUUGUCGUCAGCUCGUGUCGUGAGAUGUUGGGUUAAGUCCCGCAACGAGCGCAACCCUCGUUCCAUGUUGCCAGCGGUUCGGCCGGGAACUCAUAGGAGACUGCCGGGGUCAACUCGGAGGAAGGUGGGGAUGACGUCAAAUCAUCAUGCCCCUUAUGUCUUGGGCUUCACGCAUGCUACAAUGGCCGGUACAAAGGGCUGCAAUACCGUAAGGUGGAGCGAAUCCCAAAAAGCCGGUCUCAGUUCGGAUUGAGGUCUGCAACUCGACCUCAUGAAGUCGGAGUCGCUAGUAAUCGCAGAUCAGCAACGCUGCGGUGAAUACGUUCCCGGGUCUUGUACACACCGACAAGCUGAUAG
rnacentral:rRNA from 1 species